UGGGGAAUAUUGCACAAUGGGCGCAAGCCUGAUGCAGCCAUGCCGCGUGUAUGAAGAAGGCCUUCGGGUUGUAAAGUACUUUCAGCGGGGAGGAAGGUGUUGAGGUUAAUAACCUCAGCAAUUGACGUUACCCGCAGAAGAAGCACCGGCUAACUCCGUGCCAGCAGCCGCGGUAAUACGGAGGGUGCAAGCGUUAAUCGGAAUUACUGGGCGUAAAGCGCACGCAGGCGGUCAGUCAAGUCGGAUGUGAAAUCCCCGGGCUCAACCUGGGAACUGCAUUCGAAACUGGCAGGCUAGAGUCUUGUAGAGGGGGGUAGAAUUCGAGGUGUAGCGGUGAAAUGCGUAGAGAUCUGGAGGAAUACCGGUGGCGAAGGCGGCCCCCUGGACAAAGACUGACGCUCAGGUGCGAAAGCGUGGGGAGCAAACA
rnacentral:rRNA from 1 species